CUCUAGCGACGCGCCUGUAACGCUUUAGCAGCUUGGACUCCAAUUCCCAACACUGUUUGAGGGAGGACCACCUUCCCAGGAGUGGCACCAUUCCAGGAGCUGAGUCCUCCCACACCAGUCAAUAACCAAGAAGAUCCACAAAGGCCAAUCUAAUUCAGACAAUUUCUCAACGGAGUUUCCUUCUUCCUAUGUUGUCGUAGUUAGGGUUUCUGUUGCUAAUGAAGAGACACCAUGACCACAGCAACUCUCAUAAAGGAAAACAUUUAAUUGGGGAUGGUUUACAGUCCAGAGGUUUAGUCCAUUUUCAGCAUGGUGGGAAGCAUGGUGACACACAAGCAGAAAGGGUGUUGGAGAGGCAGCUGAGAGUCCUAUAUCAGAUCUGCAGGCAGCAGGGAAUGAGAAACACUAGGCCUGGCUUGAGCUUCUGAAAUCUCAAAGCCCACCCAGUGUCACAUUUUCUCCAACAAUGCCAUACCUAUUCCAAAAAGGCCUCACUUCCCAAUAGUGUCAGUCCCUAAAAGCCAAUGGGACCAUUUUCAUUCAAACCACCACAUAUGUGUUACAGGUCGACAACCUCGCCUAGCCAUCACACCAAAGGAGGGACAAUUGACUUCUGUUCACCACUGUCACUUAAGUAGAAACUAUCACAUUUCUGUCUCAGACACUGUGUUUCCUGUGGCACUAUUACUUUUCAAAAAAAUAUCAUGCAUGGGAGCUGAGCAUAUACUUCAAUUGAUAGAGCACUUGGCUAUGGGUUUAAUUCCCAGCACUGCAUACACCACAUUUGUUGAUACAGACCUGUACUGAGUAUUUGGGAUAUGGAAGCAGGAAGAUCUGGAGUUCAAGGUCAUCUGUGGCUACACAGUAAGUUUGAGGUCUGCCUGCAUUAUGGGAGGCCUUGUCUCAAUCAAGCAAUAAAAAUUUAAAUGUAAUCUCUUCAGGACUGUAUGUAAAAAAAUUACCUGGAAAAGCAAAUCCUCUUCUUACCUUACUCUAUUAGUCAUGAUUCCUGUGGGCUAAUACUUUGUUCCUCUUUUGCUGAGCAUCAAAAUUUAUCUGUUGUCUUAACGGAUUUAAAUCAGCAAGGUGCUCUGAAUAAGUCUGCUCCCCAUAAACUGUAUUUGAAUGCUUGGCCCACAGGGAGUGGCCCUAUUAGGAGGUGUGGCCUUGCUGGAGGAAGUGCGUCACUAUGGGGGUGGGUUUGAGGUCUCCUAUGGUCAAGCUAUGCCCAACUAUGACUCUCAAGUCCUCUUCUGCUGCCUGUGGAUCAAGACGUAGAACUAUCAGCUCCUUCUCCAGCACCAUGUCUGCCUGAAUGCUACCAUGCUUCCCAUUAUGGUGAUAAUGGACUAAACCUGUGAAAUUGUAAGCCAGCCUCAAUUAAAUGUUUCCCUUUGUAAGA